AUUGAACGCUGGCGGCAGGCCUAACACAUGCAAGUCGAGCGGAGCGGCGGAGGGGUGCGUAAUGCCAAGGAAUCGGCCUGGUCGUGGGGGAGAAGGUCCGGAAACGGGCGCUAAUACCACAUCCUAUCAGAUUAGCCUAGGUCGGAUUAGCUAGUUGGUGGGGUAAAGGCUUACCAAGGCGACGAUCCGUAUCUGGUCUGAGAGGAUGACCAGUCACACUGGAACUGAGACACGGUCCAGACUCCUACGGGAGGCAGCAGUGGGGAAUAUUGGACAAUGGGCGAAAGCCUGAUCCAGCCAUGCCGCGUGUGUGAAGAAGGUCUUCGGAUUGUAAAGCACUUUAAGCUGGGAGGCGUUACCAGCAGAAUAAGCACCGGCUAACUUCGUGCCAGCAGCCGCGGUAAUUC
rnacentral:rRNA from 1 species